rnacentral:rRNA from 1 species
CGGAUCCGCUGAGAGCCGGGAGUUUAGAAAGAGAACGGCGCACAGGUGCUGCAUGUUUGUCGUCAGCUCGUGUCGUGAGAUGUUGGGUUAAGUCCCGCAACGAGCGCAACCCUUGUCCUUAGUUGCUACGCAAGAGCACUCUAAGGAGACUGCCGGUGACAAACCGGAGGAAGGUGGGGAUGACGUCAAGUCCUCAUGGCCCUUAUGGGUAGGGCUUCACACGUCAUACAAUGGUCGGAACAGAGGGUUGCCAACCCGCGAGGGGGAGCUAAUCCCAGAAAACCGAUCGUAGUCCGGAUUGCACUCUGCAACUCGAGUGCAUGAAGCUGGAAUCGCUAGUAAUCGCGGAUCAGCAUGCCGCGGUGAAUACGUUC